AAAACAUUCGGACCGUCGGUCUAGUGAGCAAUUUCACUCAUUCGGUAGAAGAUCUUCUUUUUGUUGU
rnacentral:pre_miRNA from 1 species